GGAGGGCGCAAGCGUUGUUCGGAAUUACUGGGCGUAAAGCGCGUGUAGGCGGUUCGGUAAGUCGGGUGUGAAAGCCCGGGGCUCAACCCCGGAAUGGCACUCGAAACUGCCGGGCUCGAGUCCCGGAGGGGAGGGCAGAAUUCCCAGUGUAGGGGUGAAAUCCGUAGAUAUUGGGAGGAAUACCAGCGGCGAAGGCGGCCCUCUGGACGGUGACUGACGCUGAGACGCGAAAGCGUGGGGAGCAAACAGGAUUAGAUACCCUGGUAGUCCACGCCGUAAACGUUGCGCACUAGGUGUCGGGGGUAUUCACCCCUCCCGGUGCCCGACGGUAACCCCCAUUAAGUGCGCCGCCCUGGGGAGUACGGCCGCAAGGCUA
rnacentral:rRNA from 1 species